GUGGGGAAUAUUGCGCAAUGGGCGAAAGCCUGACGCAGCCACGCCGUGUGUGUGAUGAAGGCCCUCGGGUCGUAAAGCACUGUCGGGAGAGAAGAUGGCGCGAGUAGUUAAUAAGUGCUCGCGUCGACGGUAUCUCCAAAGGAAGCACCGGCUAACUCUGUGCCAGCAGCCGCGGUAAGACAGAGGGUGCAAGCGUUGUUCGGAAUUAUUGGGCGUAAAGCGCGCGUAGGCGGCUAAGUAAGUCGAAUGUGAAAGCCCGGGGCUCAACCCCGGAAGUGCAUCCGAAACUGCUUAGCUUGAGUCCCGGAGAGGGUGGUGGAAUUCCUGGUGUAGAGGUGAAAUUCGUAGAUAUCAGGAGGAACACCGGUGGCGAAGGCGACCACCUGGACGGUGACUGACGCUGAGGUGCGAAAGCGUGGGGAGCAAACAGG
rnacentral:rRNA from 1 species